rnacentral:rRNA from 1 species
UGGGGAAUAUUGCACAAUGGGCGCAAGCCUGAUGCAGCCAUGCCGCGUGUAUGAAGAAGGCCUUCGGGUUGUAAAGUACUUUCAGUCGGGAGGAAGGUGGUAAGGUUAAUAACCUUAUCAAUUGACGUUACCGACAGAAGAAGCACCGGCUAACUCCGUGCCAGCAGCCGCGGUAAUACGGAGGGUGCAAGCGUUAAUCGGAAUUACUGGGCGUAAAGCGCACGCAGGCGGUUUGUCAAGUCGGAUGUGAAAUCCCCGGGCUCAACCUGGGAACUGCAUUCGAAACUGGCAGGCUAGAGUCUUGUAGAGGGGGGUAGAAUUCCAGGUGUAGCGGUGAAAUGCGUAGAGAUCUGGAGGAAUACCGGUGGCGAAGGCGGCCCCCUGGACAAAGACUGACGCUCAGGUGCGAAAGCGUGGGGAGCAAACAGG